UACGUAGGGUGCAAGCGUUGUCCGGAAUUAUUGGGCGUAAAGAGCUCGUAGGCGGUCUGUCGCGUCGGCUGUGAAAACUCGGGGCUCAACCCCGAGCCUGCAGUCGAUACGGGCAGACUAGAGUGCGGUAGGGGAGACUGGAAUUCCUGGUGUAGCGGUGAAAUGCGCAGAUAUCAGGAGGAACACCUGCGGCGAAGGCGGGUUGCUGGGCCGACACUGACGCUGAUGCGCGAAAGCCAGGGGAGCGAACGGG
rnacentral:rRNA from 1 species